UUUCGCAAUGCCCGAAAGGGUGACGAAGCGACGCCGCGUGCGGGAAGAAGGCCUUCGGGUUGUAAACCGCUGUCGGGAGUUAAGAAAUGCAAGGAUGCGAAUAGUAUCUUUGCUUGACUAAGGCUCCGGAGGAAGCCACGGCUAACUCUGUGCCAGCAGCCGCGGUAAUACAGAGGUGGCAAGCGUUGUUCGGAAUUAUUGGGCGUAAAGAGCACGUAGGCGGCUAUGUAAGUCGGUUGUGAAAGCCUUCCGCUCAACGGGAGAACAGCAUCCGAUACUGCAUGGCUUGAGUGCGGGAGGGGAGAGUGGAACUUCUGGUGGAGCGGUGAAAUGCGUAGAUAUCAGAAGGAACGCCGGCGGCGAAAGCGGCUCUCUGGCCCAUAACUGACGCUGAGUGUGCGAAAGCUAGGGGAUCAAACGGGAUUAGAUACCCCGGUAGUCCUAGCCGUAAACGAUGGGCACUAAGUAGAGGGGUUUUA
rnacentral:rRNA from 1 species